UGCAUUGCAUUUUUGUGUGUGUUCAGG
rnacentral:piRNA from 1 species